rnacentral:rRNA from 1 species
GGCUCUCUGACAAAAACAUAUAGAGAGUCGAACCUGCCCAGUGAACAGUUUAACGGCCGCGGUACCCUGACCGUGCAAAGGUAGCAUAAUCAUUUGCCUUAUAAUUGAAGGCUUGUAUGAAUGGUCUGACGAAAGCAAUACUGUCUCUUCUUUAUUAUCUAGAAAUUAACCUAUGGGUGAAGAGGCCUAUAUUAUAUUGAAGGACAAGAAGACCCUGUCGAGCUUUAGAGUAAAGCAGGAAUACAAGUAUUAAAAAAAAAUCAAUGACUACAUAACUCUUUAGUUGGGGCGACUAAGGAACAAAUAAAGCUUCUUUUAGUUUUUUAGAUCAAUAAAUUUAGAUCCAGCAAAGCUGAUUAAAAGAAUUAGUUACCGCAGGGAUAACAGCAUAAUCUCUCUUGAGAGACCUAAUCGAAAGAGGGGGUUGUGACCUCGAUGUUGGACUAAAAUAUCCUGAAGAUGCAGACGUCUUCGAAGGUUGGUCUGUUCGACCAUUAAAAUUUU